ACGGAAGGCAGCAGUGGGGAAUAUUGGGCAGUGGGCGCAAGCCUGACCCAGCGACGCCGCGUGAGGGAAGAAGGUCUUCGGAUUGUAAACCUCUUUCAGCAGGGAAGACCAAGAGACGGUACCUGCAGAAGAAGUCACGGCUAACUACGUGCCAGCAGCCGCGGUAAUACGUAGGUGGCGAGCGUUAUCCGGAAUUACUGGGUGUAAAGGGUGUGUAGGCGGAGAGGCAAGUCAGGCGUGAAAUACGUGGGCUCAACCCACGAACUGCGCUUGAAACUGUUUCCCUUGAGAGUGGGAGAGGUAAACGGAAUUCCUGGUGUAGUAGUGAAAUGCGUAGAUAUCAGGAGGAACACCGGUGGCGAAGGCGGUUUACUGGACCACAACUGACGCUGAGACACGAAAGCGUGGGGAGCAAACAGGAUUAGAUACCCUGGUA
rnacentral:rRNA from 1 species